rnacentral:SRP_RNA from 2 species
GCUAGGCAUGGUGAUGUGUGCCUGUAGUCCUAGCUACUCAGGAGUAUGAGGCAGGAGGAUCGCUUGAACCCAGGAUUUCAAGGCUGCAGUGAGCUAUGAUGGCACCACUGCACUCCAGCCUGGGUGACACAGUGAGACCCUGUCUCUA